rnacentral:lncRNA from 1 species
AAGGUUAAACUCUGCGAGUUCAACGCACACAUCACAAAGUAGUUUCUGAGAAUGAUUCUGCCUAGUUUUUUUACGAAGAUAUUUCCUUUUCUACCCUUGGCCUCAAAGCACUUGAAAACUCCAACUGCAAAUCCUACAAAAAGAUUGUAACAUUGGCCUCAAAGGGCUUGAAAUCUCCACCUGCAAAUUCCACAAAAAGAGUGUUUCAAAUCUGCUCUGUCUAAAGGAACUUUCAACUCUGUGAGUUGAAUACACACAACACAAAGAAGUUACUGAAAAUUCUGCUGUCUAGAAUUAUAUGAAGAAAUCCCGUUUCCAACGAAGGCCUCAAAGAGGUCCAAAUAUCCACUUGCAGACUUUACAGAGUGUUUCCAAGUUGCUCUAUGAAAAGAAAUGUUGAACUCUGUCAGUUGAACGAACACAUCUCAAAGUAGUUUCUGAGAAUGAUUCUGUCUAGUUUUUAUACGAAGAUAUUUCCUUUUCCAUGGCCUCAAAGCCCUUGAAAUCUCCACCUGCAAGUUCCACAAAAAGAGUGUAUCAAAUCUGCUCUGUCUAAAGGAAGGUUCAACUCUGUGAGAUGAAUACGCACAACACAAAGUAGUUACUGAGAAUUCUUCUGUCUAGCAUUAUAUGAAGAAAUCCCGUUUCCAACGAAGGCCUCCAAGAGGUCCAAAUAUCCUCUUGCAGACUUUACAAACAGAGUGUUUCCAAACUGCUCUAUGAAAAGAAAGGUUGAACUAUGUGAGUUGAACGCACACAUCAC